GUCGAACAAGUGAUUGUCCCUUCGGGGACAUCCGAUAAAAUUGGAACGAUACAGAGAAGAUUAGCAUGGCCCCUGCGCAAGGAUGACACGCACAAAUCGAGAAAUGGUCCAAAUUUUUUUUUUUCCUAAAAAUUAUGAUGAACCCUACCUUAGAUUCCAAAUAAUUUUCGUUGUCGCAGAGUUUUGCUGUUCUUUCGUCCGAUUAGAUUUUGCUUCCAUUUCUGAUAAGUUUUUUUUUUUAACUCUCUUUUAUUCUAACUUGCAUUGCUCGUUCUCAAAGGGCUUGUCUAUUUAUGUUAUCUUCAAGCUUAAAAGAGUGAGACUUUAGCAUUGUCUUUUGUCCUCAGUUCGAUUCUUCAACUCGAUUAGGUCAUUACAUUUGAUUAAGUGUAGGACUAAACAAGCUCUUUUCUUUUGCGGCUGGUGCAUUGGUUUUUUAAUUGAUUUGAUCAACUUUAAAUUUGAUCUUCUAUUACUUGACAAUUGGGAGUUUUGUAAUUUCCGUUGAAUUUUCCCCAACUAUGCAACGAAACCUCUAUUGGGUCUAUUUCCUUUUCGGAUUGUGAAGAUACUGAGUUUCUCAAAUGUCUUGUAUUGUAAUCCUUGAAUUGGUUUUGGUCAAUCAUUUCUCUUCAGAGUGUUAUGUGUUUAUGUGUACAAAAGAUCAAUACUUUAAUGCUGAGUAGGUGUUACAGAGAAAAAAUUUCGAUCUCUUCUCUGGAAAUUUGUGCACCUGUCUGAAUCUAAUUCACUCAUUGGUUGGGAAAUUUGGUCUUAGGGAAUGAGGAAAGUAUAUAGGGGUUUAAGUAUUGUCAGUUUUCACCCCAUUUCUAGCAAAUUUUGGUUACUCUUUAAUGUAGGUUCUUAUGAUUGCUGUUAGAUUAUGUUUCAGCUUUAAACUCUGAAGAAACAAGUGAUUACUUAGUAGCGUAACAUUUGAAAGAUUUUUGAAUUGACAGGGAAUGUGAGAGCAUUUGAAGCUGUGUACCCAUCCAAGAAGUUAGCCUAAUGUUUUUACUUGAUGAUAGACUUGCAUAACAUCUUUAGUGUCUUAAGCCAUGUGAGUGCAGAGAGGUCACUGACAGUGUAGUAGUAAACUUGUAGAUAAAUUCUUGCAAGGUCUUUUCUCAAGUCGAAGUUAGCCAAUGUCUUACUUGACGACGAUCUGAACAUCUUGUCUCAGAUUGUGGUUUGGCCCUGUGACUCAGGGCAACUACUAGCCUCUCAUAGAUAUGGAGCAGACUUAGGAAUCUACUGAACAGCAGAGAAGGAGAAGUACAGUUCUCAGUCACAACAAUCACAAGUCAACAACAACAAAGGGGAACUAAAGAAAAAACAUAAAAAGAGUCAUAACCUUUGGAUGAGCUUAAGUUGAUUUUGCAGCUUAAAAAAAAGGUUUAGUGAGUCUUGUGAAUUGGCUCUAGAGGAGAAGAUAUGUGCUUGCUUUCAAUUGGUGGGGGAUUUCAGUUUUUGAGAAAUCUUGAAUCAGUCUCUGCUUUGUAAUCUUUGUUCUUUAAAAGGUUCCUUCUACUGUAAAAUGGUGUGUUUACAAAAUUCGUUGAAAUUGUUUGUAUUUCUAAAGUUUGGACAACUUGCUCUGUGUUUGUAAUCUUUUAAGCUGUGUGAAAUUUGUUAAUUCAUCUCA